rnacentral:lncRNA from 1 species
CCCACCUGGCUGGAAUUUGCCGCCAAAAAUCUACUAACUUUGUCCCCGUCGGGUUUCCGGGUUGAAACCGGGGCGGGGUGGGGGGCCCCGGGGGGGUGGGGCCCCGAGCAGGGGAGGGCAGGUCGGCAGCCGGGGGGUUCGGUGCGGGUGGAGGAAGGAGACGAGUGCGGGCGCCGCCGGGCGUCCGCUGCAAGGUCCCCGGUGCUGGGGCGCCGGCUCCCGGGGCUGCCGGUAGCCCUGCGCUAACCGGGCAGGUCUCCGGGAGGCUCCGCGGGGUACCCCGGGGGCAGGCGGGGAGCCGCGUCGGUCCGUCCGGAGACCGUCCGCUGGCCGGGGUGGACUCGGACAUUCGUACGCCCGGGCCCGCCGUCGGUCAGCUGAUCCCGGCGACUCCCGGACUGAGCACCGCUGGGUCCUGGGGAGUAGUUUGCAACUUCCCCGGGCACCGCUGCUGCAGCGCCUCACGUCCAGGAGGGCCCUGCGCGGGUCGUUAAGAAAUUGCUUGAUAUUAAACAGAGCCCAUUGUUCUGGGCUUGGAGUGCCGUAAUGCCCCCAGAUGGAUCCGCAGAUAAAUGAACUAGCCUUGCAUCUCAGCGGAGGGUGGCUUUCCCCCUCAAGUGCAAUGUAUCACAGAAAACACUUGCCUAAUGAAACUGGAAAAUUGAAGUGUUCGUCUCAGGUCUGCUUUGCAUAAACUUGAGCACAACUUUUCCUUGUCUCUAAGACCCACCAUCCCUACAGACGCGAGCUACACUGGAACACAUUAGAGAAUGAAUCCCCGUCUGAAGACAGGAAGAAAGUCAAUGGUGUUUUGGACAAUGAAAUUUGGAAAUUUGACAGAUUUUCACUUCAACAAGGUAGAAGUGAAAAUCAUGUCAGUUCAGACAGGAGCUGGAAUAGCUGACUGGCCACUUGCUCUUUUGAGUCAGGGUGAUGAGCGUUUACGAUGCGUUAUGGAAGAGUAACCAGUCUUUCCUACUCCAAGGAAGCUCCAUGGACUGCAAGCAUCCCAAUACCUGGGAAUUUGUUAGAAAUUCAGUCUGGAGCUCUACGGAAUGGAUCUGCAAGGGAGUCCUACCGCACUCGAGGAUUUUAUGCAAAUCUAUGGAUCUAGUUCCUUCAAAGCCAGUUCAUCCUCGACCUUCUGGAUGGAACUUGAGAGUUCACAGUUUCUGUCUGCAGAGGUUGCCUGUGUCUUGCUACAGUGCAAGAAGUAGCUGA